GCGAUACAGGGUGACAGCCCCGUACACAAAAAUGCACAUGCUGUGAGCUCGAUGAGUAGGGCGGGACACGUGGUAUCCUGUCUGAAUAUGGGGGGACCAUCCUCCAAGGCUAAAUACUCCUGACUGACCGAUAGUGAACCAGUACCGUGAGGGAAAGGCGAAAAGAACCCCGGCGAGGGGAGUGAAAAAGAACCUGAAACCGUGUACGUACAAGCAGUGGGAGCACGCUUAGGCGUGUGACUGCGUACCUUUUGUAUAAUGGGUCAGCGACUUAUAUUCUGUAGCAAGGUUAACCGAAUAGGGGAGCCGAAGGGAAACCGAGUCUUAACUGGGCGUUAAGUUGCAGGGUAUAGACCCGAAACCCGGUGAUCUAGCCAUGGGCAGGUUGAAGGUUGGGUAACACUAACUGGAGGACCGAACCGACUAAUGUUGAAAAAUUAGCGGAUGACUUGUGGCUGGGGGUGAAAGGCCAAUCAAACCGGGAGAUAGCUGGUUCUCCCCGAAAGCUAUUUAGGUAGCGCCUCGUGAAUUCAUCUCCGGGGGUAGAGCACUGUUUCGGCAAGGGGGUCAUCCCGACUUACCAACCCGAUGCAAACUGCGAAUACCGGAGAAUGUUAUCACGGGAGACACACGGCGGGUGCUAACGUCCGUCGUGAAGAGGGAAACAACCCAGACCGCCAGCUAAGGUCCCAAAGUCAUGGUUAAGUGGGAAACGAUGUGGGAAGGCCCAGACAGCCAGGAUGUUGGCUUAGAAGCAGCCAUCAUUUAAAGAAAGCGUAAUAGCUCACUGGUCGAGUCGGCCUGCGCGGAAGAUGUAACGGGGCUAAACCAUGCACCGAAGCUGCGGCAGCGACGCUGAUGCGUUGUUGGGUAGGGGAGCGUUCUGUAAGCCUGCGAAGGUGUGCUGUGAGGCAUGCUGGAGGUAUCAGAAGUGCGAAUGCUGACAUAAGUAACGAUAAAGCGGGUGAAAAGCCCGCUCGCCGGAAGACCAAGGGUUCCUGUCCAACGUUAAUCGGGGCAGGGUGAGUCGACCCCUAAGGCGAGGCCGAAAGGCGUAGUCGAUGGGAAACAGGUUAAUAUUCCUGUACUUGGUGUUACUGCGAAGGGGGGACGGAGAAGGCUAUGUUGGCCGGGCGACGGUUGUCCCGGUUUAAGCGUGUAGGCUGGUUUUCCAGGCAAAUCCGGAAAAUCAAGGCUGAGGCGUGAUGACGAGGCACUACGGUGCUGAAGCAACAAAUGCCCUGCUUCCAGGAAAAGCCUCUAAGCAUCAGGUAACAUCAAAUCGUACCCCAAACCGACACAGGUGGUCAGGUAGAGAAUACCAAGGCGCUUGAGAGAACUCGGGUGAAGGAACUAGGCAAAAUGGUGCCGUAACUUCGGGAGAAGG
rnacentral:rRNA from 1 species